AUGAACGCUGGCGGCGUGGAUAAGGCAUGCAAGUCGAGGGGGUCCCUCACCAAGUGCGGAAAUAUUUAUUCGCUUGGUGAGGGAUCACCGGCAGACGAGGUAGUAACACGUAGGAACGAACCCCGAAGUCAGGGAUAACCCAUCGAAAGAUGGGCUAAUACUUGAUAGUCUCGCGAGAGUAAAGAUUUAUCGCUUCGGGAUCGGCCUGCGGAAUAUCAGCUAGUUGGUAAGGUAACGGCUUACCAAGGCUAUGACGUUUAGGGGAGGUGAGAGCCUGACCCCCACCGAUGGGACUGCGACACGGCCCAUACACCUACGGGUGGCUGCAGUCGAGAAUCUUCCACAAUGGACGAAAGUCUGAUGGAGCGACGCCGCGUGACUGAUGAAGCAUUUCGGUGUGUAAAGGUCUUUUAUGAGGGAUGACAUAGCGACAGUACCUCAUGAAUAAGGGGCUGCUAAUCACGU
rnacentral:rRNA from 1 species